GGGGGUAUAGUAAAGUGGCAUUACACAGCAUUCGCAUUGCUGGGGCCUGGGUUCGAUUCCCAGUAUCUCCACCA
rnacentral:tRNA from 1 species